GCCUUUGUGGUGUAGUGGUCAACACACUCGGCUCGUAUUCGAGAGGUCCGUGGUCCUGGCGAGAGCA
rnacentral:tRNA from 1 species